rnacentral:rRNA from 1 species
GAUGAACGCUGGCGGCGUGCCUAAUACAUGCAAGUCGAGCGAACAGACGAGGAGCUUGUUCCUCUGACGUUAGCGGCGGACGGGUGAGAAACACGUGGAUAACCUACCUAUAAGACUGGGAUAACUUCGGGAAACCGGAUCUAAUACUGGAUAAUAUAUUGAACCGCAUGGUUCAAUAGUGAAAGACGGUUUUGCUGUCACUUAUAGAUGGAUUCGCGUCGCAUUAGCUAGUUGGUAAGGUAACGGCUUACCAAGGCAACGAUGCGUAGCCGACCUGAGAGGGUGAUCGGCCACACUGGAACUGAGACACGGCCCAGACUCCUACGGGAGGCAGCAGUAGGGAAUCUUCCGCAAUGGGCGAAAGCCUGACGGAGCAACGCCGCGUGAGUGAUGAAGGUCUUCGGAUCGUAAAACUCUGUUAUUAGGGAAGAACAAAUGUGUAAGUAACUAUGCACGUCUUGACGGUACCUAAUCAGAAAGCCACGGCUAACUACGUG